CCUCACUGAAACUCAUCAUAAACGAAGAAGGUUUUUUGGCAUGAUGGCACAAACGGUCCUGACAUCUGUUAUGAUGGCAGGAGAUUCUGAAUUGAAGAAGGCAGUCUCAACAUAUUUUUCUCAAUAUACAAGCUUGCAUUUGUUGAUUUUAUGGAAUGAUGACCAAACACAUUGGAAAGAAAUGGCUUAUGUCAGUUUAUUAUGUGUCAUGAGAAGAAACCAAGGGCAAGAGCUGUCCAAGAAUGUUCCCUCUGAACCAGCCAGAAACUGAGAAAUGCUAUAAAGGUCAUACUAAUCAAGUCCUGAACUCUGGGAGUAGAACCUGGUCUCUUGACUAGCAACAAAAAAUGUUCUCAGUGUUCCAAUACAUGAGCUGGAGAGAUGACUCAACAGCUAAGAGCACUGGCUAUACUUCCAGAGGACCCAGUUUCCCAACUUAACACCCACCUGGCAGUUCAGAACUAUUCCAAACUACUACAGGAAUGGACAUUUGCGAUUCAACAUCACCACUGAGUAGGAACCAUUGAAGUAGGAUCUGUCACAUGAUUGGAUGGAAGAAAAUGGAAGAAAGAAUUUUCAGCU